rnacentral:rRNA from 1 species
UGGGGAAUAUUGCACAAUGGGCGCAAGCCUGAUGCAGCGACGCCGCGUGGGGGAUGACGGCCUUCGGGUUGUAAACCUCUUUCGACAGGGACGAAGCUUUGGUGACGGUACCUGUAUAAGAAGCACCGGCUAACUACGUGCCAGCAGCCGCGGUAAUACGUAGGGUGCGAGCGUUGUCCGGAAUUACUGGGCGUAAAGAGCUCGUAGGUGGUUUGUCGCGUCGUCUGUGAAAUUCCGGGGCUUAACUUCGGGCGUGCAGGCGAUACGGGCAUAACUUGAGUGCUGUAGGGGAGACUGGAAUUCCUGGUGUAGCGGUGGAAUGCGCAGAUAUCAGGAGGAACACCGAUGGCGAAGGCAGGUCUCUGGGCAGUAACUGACGCUGAGGAGCGAAAGCAUGGGGAGCGAACA